rnacentral:misc_RNA from 1 species
AACGCACCUUGCGCUCCUUGGUAUUCCGAGGAGCAUGCCUGUUUGAGUGUCUUGAAAUCAUCAAGUCCCCGGAUUCGCGUCCGGAGGCUUGGACUUGGGGGUCUUUGCUGCGCUUUCGGCGCGGCUCCCCUUAAAUGAAUCGGUUGUGGCCCGUCCGGCUUCAGUCCUCGGCGUUGUAUUCACCUCGCCCCGCGUCUCGUCGGCAGCGCCCUUCCCCGACCGCCUUUGGAGCGGCGGUCAAGACUACAAUUUGAAAUCUGACCUCAAAUCAGGUAGGACUACCCGCUGAACUUAA